rnacentral:rRNA from 1 species
UUGAACGCUGGCGGCAUGCCUUACACAUGCAAGUCGAACGGCAGCACGGGGGCAACCCUGGUGGCGAGUGGCGAACGGGUGAGUAAUACAUCGGAACGUGCCCUGAAGUGGGGGAUAACGUAGCGAAAGUUACGCUAAUACCGCAUAUUCUGUGAGCAGGAAAGCAGGGGAUCGCAAGACCUUGCGCUUUAGGAGCGGCCGAUGUCGGAUUAGCUAGUUGGUGAGGUAAAGGCUCACCAAGGCGACGAUCCGUAGCUGGUCUGAGAGGACGACCAGCCACACUGGAACGGAGACACGGUCCAGACUCCUACGGGAGGCAGCAGUGGGGAAUUUUGGACAAUGGGCGAAAGCCUGAUCCAGCCAUACCGCGUGAGUGAAGAAGGCCUUCGGGUUGUAAAGCUCUUUCAGCCGGAAAGAAAUUGCUUCUAUUAAUACUAGGAGUAGAUGACGGUACCGGAAGAAGAAGCACCGGCUAACUACGU